rnacentral:rRNA from 1 species
CGGCGGACGGGUGAGUAACGCGUGGGUAACCUGCCUCAUACAGGGGGAUAACAGUUGGAAACGGCUGCUAAUACCGCAUAAGCGCACAGUACCGCAUGGUACGGUGUGAAAAACUCCGGUGGUAUGAGAUGGACCCGCGUCUGAUUAGGUAGUUGGUGGGGUAACGGCCUACCAAGCCGACGAUCAGUAGCCGACCUGAGAGGGUGACCGGCCACAUUGGACUGAGACACGGCCAA